GGAAUAUUGAAUUAUGAAUUAUGUUGCAGGAGGAGGAAAAGAGAAAGAACAAUAAAACUUGAAAUUAACAUAAAAUGAAUAAAGCAAACUGCAAAGAGGAAAAUAAUACUACUUUAGAGACAAUAAAUGAGAAAUCACAGAAAUUGCCAUCAUUUGAUGACUUGACAGCCCAACAUUAAAUACAUUACCCAAGCAUCAAUCUUAAUUUCCCCAGUUAUGAGGGAUCAUAAUAAAUUUUAAUUAGGUAUCAU
rnacentral:misc_RNA from 1 species